UUUAUACUUCCUCCGUUCGGAAUUACUUGUCGCAGAAAUAGAUGUAUCUAGACGUAUUUUUGUUCUAGAUACAUCCAUUUUCGUGACAAGUAAUUCCGAACGGAAGGAGUACUUG
rnacentral:pre_miRNA from 1 species